rnacentral:tRNA from 1 species
GUUUCUGUAGUUGAAUACAACGGGGGUUUUUC